AAAUGAAUAGACGGGGACUCGCACAAGCGGUGGAGCAUGCGGUUUAAUUCGAUGCAACGCGAAGAACCUUACCAGGUCUUGACAUCCCACUGACCGAUCUAGAGAUAGGUCUUCCCUUCGGGGCAGUGGUGACAGGUGGUGCAUGGUUGUCGUCAGCUCGUGUCGUGAGAUGUUGGGUUAAGUCCCGCAACGAGCGCAACCCUUAUCAUUAGUUGCUACCAUUAAGUUGAGCACUCUAAUGAGACCGCCGGUGACAAACCGGAUGAAGGUGGGGAUGACGUCAAAUCAUCAUGCCCCUUAUGACCUGGGCUACACGCGUGCUACAAUGGCUAGUACAAAGAGUUGCAAUACCGCGAGGUGGAGCUAAUCUCAUAAAGCUAGUCUCAGUUCGGAUUGUAGUCUGCAACUCGACUACAUGAAGUUGGAAUCGCUAGUAAUCGCGAAUCAGAAUGUCGCGGUGAAUACGUUCUCGAGUCUUGUACACACCGCCCGU
rnacentral:rRNA from 1 species